GACGAACGCUGGCGGCGUGCCUAACACAUGCAAGUCGAGCGGAACUGUUUAAGUUUACUUUUACAGUUUAGCGGCGGACGGGUGAGUAACGCGUGAGUAACCUGCCUUAUACAAAGGGAUAGCCUUGAGAAAUCGGGAUUAAUACCUUAUGAAGUAUUCGAAUCACAUGAUUUGAAUAUCAAAACUCCGGUGGUAUAAGAUGGACUCGCGUCCCAUUAGCUAGUUGGUGAAGUAACGGUUCACCAAGGCGACGAUGGGUAGCCGGCCUGAGAGGGUGGACGGCCACACUGGAACUGAGACACGGUCCAG
rnacentral:rRNA from 1 species